UACGAAGAGGGCUAGCGUUGCUCGGAAUCACUGGGCGUAAAGCGCACGUAGGCGGAUUGUUAAGUCAGGGGUGAAAUCCUGGAGCUCAACUCCAGAACUGCCUUUGAUACUGGCGAUCUCGAGUCCGGGAGAGGUGAGUGGAACUGCGAGUGUAGAGGUGAAAUUCGUAGAUAUUCGCAAGAACACCAGUGGCGAAGGCGGCUCACUGGCCCGGUACUGACGCUGAGGUGCGAAAGCGUGGGGAGCAAACAGG
rnacentral:rRNA from 1 species